AUUGAACGCUGGCGGCAUGCCUUACACAUGCAAGUCGAACGGCAGCGGGGACUUCGGUCCGCCGGCGAGUGGCGAACGGGUGAGUAAUGUAUCGGAACGUACCAUUGAGUGGGGGAUAACGUAGCGAAAGUUACGCUAAUACCGCAUAUUCUCUCCGGAGGAAAGCAGGGGACCGCAAGGCCUUGCGCUCUUUGAGCGGCCGAUAUCAGAUUAGCUAGUUGGUGAGGUAAAGGCUCACCAAGGCGACGAUCUGUAGCGGGUCUGAGAGGAUGAGCCGCCACACUGGAACUGAGACACGGUCCAGACUCCUACGGGAGGCAGCAGUGGGGAAUUUUGGACAAUGAGGGCAACCCUGAUCCAGCCAUGCCGCGUGAGUGAAGAAGGCCUUCGGGUUGUAAAGCUCUUUCGGCCGGGAAAAAAUCGCAUGGGCUAAUACCCUGUGUGGAUGAUGGUACCGGAAUAAGAAGCACCGGCUAACUACGUGCCAGCCGCCGCGGUAA
rnacentral:rRNA from 1 species